GGUCGGUUAGCUCAGUUGGUAGAGCAUCGCAAUUACAUACAUAACUUCAUGUUCUGAAGUAAGAAGUACUGCGAAGGCCAUAGGUUCAAGCCCUAUACUGACCA